CACGUUGAAAGACUGGUCCCCUUUAUGAUCACUGAAAUUAAGCAACACUGACCCUGGUCAGUACCUAGAUGGGUGACUGCUUGGGAAUACCAGGUGCUGUAAGC